AGGUGAACCUGCGGAAGGAUCAUUAACGAGUUAGGGUCUUCUAGGCCCGACCUCCCAACCCUAUGUUUAUUGAACCUCUGUUGCUUCGGCGGACCCGCCUCACGGCCGCCGGAGGACCGCUGCAAGGCGUCCUCUGGCCAGCGUCCGCCGAUGGCCAACCACUUAAACUCUGAAUGAAUCGUGUCAUAUGUCUAAGUCUAUGAUUAAAUUAAAGCAAAACUUUCAACAACGGAUCUCUUGGUUCUGG
rnacentral:misc_RNA from 1 species